rnacentral:rRNA from 1 species
GACGGAGGGUGCCAGCGUUGCUCGGAAUGAUUGGGCAUAAAGGGUCCGCAGGCGGUCUUAUAAGUCAGUGGUGAAAGCCUACAGCUCAACUGUAGAACUGCCAUUGAUACUGUAAGACUUGAAUUCGGUCGAAGUGGGCGGAAUAUGACAUGUAGCGGUGAAAUGCUUAGAUAUGUCAUAGAACACCGAUAGCGAAGGCAGCUCACUAGGCCUGGAUUGACGCUCAGGGACGAAAGCGUGGGGAGCAAACAGG